CUUUAUCACCAGAUACGUAUAUAUACAUAUAUGUAUCCCUACUUCUCCCUCCCACUAUCGACAAGAAAAAGAAAGCAACAGUCUUUCACUAACAGAAAACAUCUCGUUACAUAUUUGUCAUUCUCCGAUCGGAAAUGGAUUUUCACAGUCUUGCAAGGAAAGAGCUACAAGCUCUCUGCAAGAAGAACAAGAUCCCAGCAAACAUGACCAAUGUCGCCAUGGCCGAUGCUCUCAAAGCUCUUGAGAAGGUGGAACGACUUGAUGAACUCAACACCAGAUCCGAUCCUCAGGAAUCACCGGAGAAAACUAAAAAUGCGGAGCCUCGAACUGCAUGCAGAACCUCUACUAGGAGAAAGCCUAUUAAUGUUGAGCCUGAAAGUUCACAACCCAAGACUCGUACUCGCCAUGCAACAAGAAGAAUGGUUGCUGAAGAGCCUGAGCAAGAAAACAAGAAUGUUAACCUACCGGAGACUCCAGCAAUGACCACCACCAGGAGAAGGGCACCAGCUGCUUCAGCAACCCGAAAAAUGGAUGCCCAAUUGAUGGAAGUUGGGGAGGAUGAGAAACUAGUAGGUCAAGAGAAGAGUGAUGUGCCAGAGACUCCAGCAAUACGAACCUCCCGAAGUAAGACUCCAGCAGUUUCAACUAGGAGGAAAAUUGAGGGUCAGAAGGAUGAGAAAUCGGUUCAGACAGUGUACGCUACAAGGCAGUCAGUGAGAUUGUUGGAGAAAAGCAUGGCAGAGUUGAGCUUGGAGAAAAGGAGAGUUGAAGCUGUGAAGAUUGAGGGAUUGUGUGAGAAAACUAAGGAAGUUGAACAGAAGAAUGAUGUGCCUGGAUGUGAUUCCCAACUUCUUUCAUGCCAAAAUAUAGAUGAGUCGUUAGAGAAUGAAAGUGGAAUGAAGCUUCAAGGGGACAACAAGAGUAAUGACCAGGAAGGGGGUGGUUCAGAAGUUCUUUCAUGGCAGAACUUGGAGCAUUCUCUAGAGAAUCAAAGUGAAAUGAAGCAUGAAUUUCAAGAGGACAAGACUGAUGACCAUGAAAUGGAUAACUCAGUAGUUUCCCUCCAAAACUUGGAUUUACCUCCAGAGAAUAGAAGUGAAAUGAAGAAUGAACUUCAUGACCACAAAAAUAGAACUAACCAUGAAGUGGGUUCAGUCGUUCUUUGCCAGAACACAGAUCAGUUGCUAAAGAGUGAAAGUGAAAAUAAACUUCAAGAGGAUGAAAAGAUAAAUGAUAAUGAAGUGGUUGAUUGCAGUGUGAAAAUGGAAGUAGGUUAUGAGUCUUGCACUAAUUUGGAUAAUGAUUCAGGAUUUGGAAAAGACGAUGAAAACAACAGUAAUAGUUCAGAACAAUCAUUUUUUCUGCUAGUGGAAACCUCAGAAAAGGCAGUAGAUAUGAAUUGUGAUUCCAUGGAUGAGAACGGACCAGAUGUGAUAACUGAAAACUCUGAGACUUUGAAUGCUGCAUUGAAUCCAGAAAUUGAAAAAGAAUUGAAUGGCAAUAAAGAUUCUUUGAUUGUAGAAGUGUCUGAUGACAAUUCUGUUUUAUUCAUGGAAACAAUUGUUAAUAUUCCAUAUGAAGUUUCAGUUGAGGUCAUCGAUUCAUUGACCCCUGAGGUAUCUGAAACUGUGGACAAAAGCUCUGAAAUGAAUUUGAUGGAGAAUGAGCAUCAUGACAUUAAUGAUCCGCAUCCAGAUGCUGCUACUGAGGAAGAUUGUGAUGGCAAUGCCACUGAGGAAGUGUCUGAUAGCAAUGGAUCACUUGAAGAAGUUCAAGAAAAUAACAAUACAGAAAAAAUCCAAGAGAAGGCUCCACUUCUUCCACAAGGUGAUCAUGAGAAGUCAGAGAGCAGAAAGGAACCUCGAAGCCCUGGGUUCAUUCUCCAGUAUGAAAAAUGCAAGGAAGCUUCAGAUAACUUGGCAAAUGAGUAUAAUAUUGAUGAUGUUAAUGUAAUUGAAGCUAAAGAAUCUGACAUGAUAGUCCAGAAAAGCCCUUUCUGUUGUAUUAUGGCUUCUUCAGACAGUGAAGUUGCUGACCAUGUGAUUCCAGAACAAGAAUUUGCUGCGGCUGCAUACAAAUGCAUUCAAACAUUAAACAAGUCGCCAACUUCCUCAAAGCAAAUGUGUCCCUAUCAACCUGUUGUUUCUAGAGAUCAAUUCACAUGUGGCAUGGUGAUCUCCUCACCAUUUGCAGCCAACAUAAUUCAGGUUCAGUCUCCUCUGCCAAAUGAAUCAACAAGGAAAUCUUCUACUAAGAAACAGACAACAAUUCAGAAGAUCAUCUGCAUCUAUGCAGACAUCAACAAAGAGAACAUUGACAACAAUGGCAGAAAAAUAGAGCCUAACAAAGAUAAAGUGAAGAAGGUUGUUAAUGAAGAGAAAUAUGAGGACUUUAGCCUAAGGAAGCUAACUAAGAUGCUGAAAGAACUGCAGAUUGCCAAGGAGGCUAGAAAUGUCUCAAAGGUAAUGACACCAAUACGUCCUUAUUCUUUAGCUAGUCUUUUAAGAACUUGUCAAAUUAGUGUGUUGUAUCGUAAUAAAGCUAAAGCAUGUUCUAUGUACAGCACGUGGGAACUAGACCAGCUUUGCAGGCACUGACAGAGAAUUGUAGAGCCGCUGGUGAACCAGAAAACAAGAACUGAAUUGCUUUGACAUUAAAACUGCAGAAAGUAUGCAUGCAUGCCAGAGGAGUGAUACGAUAGAGCAUGAAUGACCUCUUUUGGGAAUUCAAAACCGAGUUUUUUUUUUUUUUUUGGGUUUUUGGUUUUUGUUUCCUUUACGGCUUUAAUCGCAACCACUCGUACCGUCCUUCCAAUGGCUCGUCCUUGACGAUAUCGUAGUUAUACUUGUCUGCAAAUUGU
rnacentral:misc_RNA from 1 species